GUCAAUACCCGGCAGCUUGACAUUACCUUUAGAAGAAGCACCGGCUAACUCCGUGCCAGCAGCCGCGGUAAUACGGAGGGUGCAAGCGUUAAUCGGAAUUACUGGGCGUAAAGCGUGCGUAGGCGGUUCGUUAAGUCAGAUGUGAAAGCCCCGGGCUUAACCUGGGAACUGCAUUUGAAACUGGCGGACUUGAGUUGAGUAGAGGGGAGUGGAAUUUCAGGUGUAGCGGUGAAAUGCGUAGAUAUCUGAAGGAACACCAGUGGCGAAGGCGACUCCCUGGACUCAAACUGACGCUGAGGUACGAAAGCGUGGGUAGCAAACAGGAUUAGAUACCCUGGUAGUCCACGCUGUAAACGAUGUCAACUAGCCGUUGGUCCUAUUUACAGGAUUAGUGGCGCAGCUAACGCAUUAAGUUGACCGCCUGGGGAGUACGGCCGCAAGGUUAAAACUCAAAUGAAUUGACGGG
rnacentral:rRNA from 1 species